ACGAGGGGUGCAAGCGUUAAUCGGAAUUACUGGGCGUAAAGGGUGCGUAGGCGGUUCGUUAAGUCUGUCGUGAAAUCCCCGGGCUCAACCUGGGAAUGGCGAUGGAUACUGGCGAGCUAGAGUGUGUCAGAGGAUGGUGGAAUUCCUGGUGUAGCGGUGGAAUGCGCAGAUAUCAGGAGGAACACCGGUGGCGAAGGCGGGUCUCUGGGCAGUAACUGACGCUGAGGAGCGAAAGCGUGGGGAGCGAACAGGA
rnacentral:rRNA from 1 species